GGGUUCCAAAUGAUGCGGGCUGGAUCUCUCGGGGUUACAGCCUUGCUGAAUUAUUCACCCUUGUCUUUUGCGUACUUCUUGUUUCCUUGGUGGGUUCGCCCACCACUAGGACAAACAUAAACCUUUUGUAAUUGCAAUCAGCGUCAGUAACAAAUUAAUAAUUACAACUUUCAACAACGGAUCUCUUGGUUCUGGCAUCGAUGAAGAACGCAGCGAAAUGCGAUAAGUAGUGUGAAUUGCAGAAUUCAGUGAAUCAUCGAAUCUUUGAACGCACAUUGCGCCCUUUGGUAUUCCAAAGGGCAUGCCUGUUCGAGCGUCAUUUGUACCCUCAAGCUUUGCUUGGUGUUGGGCGUCUUGUCUCUAGCUUUGCUGGAGACUCGCCUUAAAGUAAUUGGCAGCCGGCCUACUGGUUUCGGAGCGCAGCACAAGUCGCACUCUCUAUCAGCCAAGGUCUAGCAUCCAUUAAGCCUUUUUUCAACUUUUGACCUCGGAUCAGGUAGGGAUACCCGCUGAACUUAAGCAUAUCUAAAAGGGGGAAAGAAAA
rnacentral:rRNA from 1 species